rnacentral:rRNA from 1 species
UACAGAGGGGGCAAGCGUUGUUCGGAAUUACUGGGCGUAAAGGGCGCGUAGGCGGCCUGUUAAGUCGAACGUGAAAUCCCCGGGCUCAACCCGGGAACUGCGUCCGAUACUGGCAGGCUUGAAUCCGGGAGAGGGAUGUGGAAUUCCAGGUGUAGCGGUGAAAUGCGUAGAUAUCUGGAGGAACACCGGUGGCGAAGGCGGCAUUCUGGACCGAAACUGACGCUGAGGCGCGAAAGCCAGGGGAGCAAACGGG